rnacentral:rRNA from 1 species
AUACGGGGGGAGCGAACGUUGUUCGGAUUUACUGGGCGUAAAGGGCGUGUAGGCGGCUUUGUAAGUCAGGGGUGAAAUGUCUCGGCUCAACCGAGGACCUGCCUUUUAAACUACAGAGCUUGAGGCCGUGAGAGGAGACUGGAAUUCCUAGUGUAGCGGUGAAAUGCAUAGAUAUUAGGAAGAACACCAGUGGCGAAGGCGAGUCUCUGGCACGGUUCUGACGCUGAGGCGCGAAAGCCAGGGGAGCGAACGGGAUUAGAAACCCCAGUAGUCC